UACGGAGGGUGCAAGCGUUAUCCGGAAUCACUGGGUUUAAAGGGUGCGUAGGCGGCUUGGUAAGUCAGAGGUGAAAGCUUCCCGCUCAACGGGAGAACUGCCUUUGAUACUGCCAGGCUCGAAUUGGGUUGAGGCCGGCGGAAUGUGGCAUGUAGCGGUGAAAUGCUUAGAUAUGCCAUAGAACACCGAUUGCGAAGGCAGCCGGCCAAGCCUUGAUUGACGCUGAGGCACGAAAGCGUGGGGAGCGAACAGG
rnacentral:rRNA from 1 species